rnacentral:tRNA from 1 species
GGGCUUGUAGCUCAGUUGGUUAGAGCGUCACAUUGACAUUGUGAAGGUCAGAGGUUCGAAUCCUCUCAGGCCCA